CACAACCUCUCCAGCUGGGCAUGCGGAUUAUCUGCUGCUGGAAUCAUUCUGUGUGCUUCCCCGAGGCCAAGCGUGACCUGGAAGAGGGUCACAGCCAUUUUAGAGGCUUGGGAGACUUUUUUCGGAGCUGAAGAAUCGGCCGUGAUCAACACGAGACCAGAAUCACUAAAGUGAAACUUUUGCUUUACUGGGACAAUUGACACAGGUGGCCAAAGUUGUACCUUCAUUCUGGUAGCCCAAGUUGGUAGUGUAAGAGUCUCCAAGGUGGUACUGGUUUUGAAGGUGUAGUCAAGUGGACAAGCAAGAGACAUCAUCAGGGAAGGGCCAUGGAGAGCAGCUGAGGCUUGGCAUUGUGAGAGGGCAGCAUGGUUGCUGAAAGUGCAGCAUGGUUGCAGCAGGAGACCCGAGCAUUUUGGAGAUGCCAGGAUCGUGGGAUGGCCACCAAGAACAGCAGCAGCUGUGGAGUGGAGCCUGGAAGAUAAAUUGUGUGUGCUGCAGAGGGCAGAGCCAGAGAAGUGACCCAAGCCCCUUGGAGGAACCCGGGAGAUCAUGAGUGAACCCCAGAUCUUGGACACUGAAUGAUUUACACCACCGGAAUUGGUUUUGCUUUGUUCAGAUUGAGACUGUGCCCUGGCUCUUCCUUCUUGAAGUAAAACAAUAUUUAACCUAAUUUUGAUUUUUUAGGAGCCCACAGCUGAGAAACUUUGAACUUUUAAGAGAUUGUGGAGUUUUAGAGACUGGAUAGUUUUAAAAGAACUUAUAAUGUGGCUGAAUUUAUAAAGAUUGUGGGGCUCUUAAAGUUUUACUUAUGUUUGAUAUUAUGGUAUCAAUAUUAACAUGCCAUCUCUGGGGAUAAGUGACAAAUGAAAGGCUCUAAGUGAAAA